ACCAGGCACAGUGGUGCAUGCCUGUAAUCCCAGCAUCUUGGGAGGCUGAGGCAGGAGAAUUGCGAGUUCAAAGCCAGCCUCAGCAAAAGCAAGGUGCUAAGCAACUCAGUGAGACCCUGUCUCUA
rnacentral:sRNA from 1 species